rnacentral:rRNA from 1 species
UCCGUAGGUGAACCUGCGGAGGGAUCAUUACACAAAUAUGAAGGCGGGCUGGAACCUCUCGGGGUUACAGCCUUGCUGAAUUAUUCACCCUUGUCUUUUGCGUACUUCUUGUUUCCUUGGUGGGUUCGCCCACCACUAGGACAAACAUAAACCUUUUGUAAUUGCAAUCAGCGUCAGUAACAAAUUAAUAAUUACAACUUUCAACAACGGAUCUCUUGGUUCUGGCAUCGAUGAAGAACGCAGCGAAAUGCGAUAAGUAGUGUGAAUUGCAGAAUUCAGUGAAUCAUCGAAUCUUUGAACGCACAUUGCGCCCUUUGGUAUUCCAAAGGGCAUGCCUGUUCGAGCGUCAUUUGUACCCUCAAGCUUUGCUUGGUGUUGGGCGUCUUGUCUCUAGCUUUGCUGGAGACUCGUCUUAAAGUAAUUGGCAGCCGGCCUACUGGUUUCGGAGCGCAGCACAAGUCGCACUCUCUAUCAGCAAAGGUCUAGCAGCCAUUAAGCCUUUUUUUCAACUCUUGACCUCGGAUCAGGUAGGGAUACCCGCUGAACUUAAGCAUAUCAAUAAAGCGGAGGA